rnacentral:rRNA from 1 species
AGUGAACGCUGGCGGUAGGCCUAACACAUGCCAGUCGAACGGCGGCACAGUAAGAGCUUGCUCUUACGGGUGGCGAGUGGCGGACGGGUGAGGAAUACAUCGGAAUCUACUUUUUCGUGGGGGAUAACGUAGGGAAACUUACGCUAAUACCGCAUACGACCUACGGGUGAAAGCAGGGGAUCUUCGGACCUUGCGCGAUUGAAUGAGCCGAUGUCGGAUUAGCUAGUUGGCGGGGUAAAGGCCCACCAAGGCGACGAUCCGUAGCUGGUCUGAGAGGAUGAUCAGCCACACUGGAACUGAGACACGGUCCAGACUCCUACGGGAGGCAGCAGUGGGGAAUAUUGGACAAUGGGCGCAAGCCUGAUCCAGCCAUACCGCGUGGGUGAAGAAGGCCUUCGGGUUGUAAAGCCCUUUUGCUGGGAAAGAAAAGCAGCAGGUUAAUACCCCGCUGUUCUGACGGUACCCAAAGAAUAAGCACCGGCUAACUUCGUG